rnacentral:lncRNA from 1 species
AUGUCGAGGGCUCAAGAUGGGAUUCUCAAGUAUAUGCUGAAGCUUAUGGAAGUCUGCAAAGCUCGUGGGUUUGUGUAUGGGAUCAUUCCUGAGAAGGGGAAGCCGGUUAGUGGUUCGUCUGAUAACAUUAGAGCCUGGUGGAAGGAAAAGAGCAUGCUCCAAGACCUGCAAGAUGCAACGCUUGGGUCACUCUUGUCUUCUUUGAUGCAACACUGUGAUCCUCCUCAGAGGAAAUUCCUCAUUGGAAAAGGGUGUUCCUCCGCCUUGGUGGCCGACUGGGAAUGA